rnacentral:rRNA from 1 species
GACGAACGCUAGCGGAAGGCAUAAUACAUGCAAGUCGAACGGAUGUAGCAAUACAUUAGUGGCGCACGGGUGCGUAACGCGUAUGCAACCUACCUUCAUCAGGGGGAUAACUACUCGAAAGGGUGGCUAACACCGCAUAAUACUACUGAAUGGCAUCAUUUGGUAUUUAAAUCUGAGGAGGAUGAAGAUGGGCAUGCGUCUGAUUAGCUAGUUGGUGUGGUAACGGCGCACCAAGGCGACGAUCAGUAGGGGAACUGAGAGGUUGGUCCCCCACACUGGCACUGAGAUACGGGCCAGACUCCUACGGGAGGCAGCAGUAGGGAAUAUUGGUCAAUGGUGGGAACACUGAACCAGCCAUUCCGCGUGCAGGAAGAAGGGUCUCUGACUUGUAAACUGCUUUAGCAAGGGAAGAAAAAGCUCGUGCGUGAGAAAUUGACGGUACCUUGAGAAUAAGCACCGGUUAACUACGUGCCAGCCGCCGCAGUAA